UUCAAAAUAUCCAAAUAAAUAAACGGCGCUUCGCCUACAAAAAGAAGUGAACUUUUUGUGCUUUAUGCGUAGCGCCUUGGUUCGGUUUGGUUAUGGCACACACCCUAACCAAAACCGACCCACAACUUUCAGUUAACCAGUUAUUGCUUAACCGAACCAUCUUAACUGUUCGGUUGUGUUAAUUCAGUUUGGUUAAUUCCGUUAUUUGCUCUUUUUAAAGCCAAGCAAAUAAGUCCAUUUGACCUCAAACAUUCACACAACUUGUCUAAUUUCAAAUCCAAUUAGGAUUAUGCCACUACUACACUCAAUUCAUUUUACACUUAAAAUACAUUCAAUACCACAAUCAAACCCCUAGAAGCAGAAAAUCAACCUUUUUGCCAGAAUUGUCGAGGAAGAAAACUCUGUAAUCCAGGGUUUCAGGUAGACCUUCCUCCUUGAUCUGGACAUCUGGUCUGUAAAGGGCCGAACAAGCAAAAGUCCUGUUUUUGGAAGCUAAUUUGAAGCAAAAGCUUACGCACUGAGGUUUGAAAAAGGGAGAUGCAGCGGCUUUCAAGAGUAAUGAAGAAGAUGAGGCGCCAAUGGUGGUGGUUGACGCCAUGACUCUAGCAGCUGCCAUUGAUGACGGUAACUGGUAG
rnacentral:lncRNA from 1 species